UUAAGUUGGAUGUGAAAUCCUAUGGCUCAACCAUAGAACUGCAUCCAAAACUGAGGGGCUAGAGUCUGGGAGGGGAAGAUGGGAUUAGUGGUGUAGGGGUAAAAUCCGUAGAGAUCACUAGGAAUACCAAAAGCGAAGGCGAUCUUCUGGAACAGUACUGACGCUGAGGCGCGAAAGCGUGGGGAGCAAACAGGAUUAGAUACCCUGGCAGUCCACGCCCUAAACUAUGAAUGUUAGUCGUCGGGAGGCUCGUCCUCUCGGUGAUGCAGCUAACGCAUUAAACAUUCCGCCUGGGGAGUACGGUCGCAAGAUUAAAACUCAAAGGAAUAGACGGGGACCCGCACAAGUGGUGGAGCAUGUGGUUUAAUUCGAAGAUACGCGAAGAACCUUACCUGGCCUUGACAUUGAUAGAAUCUGCUAGAGAUAGCGGAGUGCCCUUCGGGGGAGCUUGAAAACAGGUGCUGCACGGCUGUCGUCAGCUCGUGUCGUGAGAUGUUGGGUUAAGUCCCGCAACGAGCGCAACCCUCGUCACUAGUUACUAACGGUUCGGCCGAGGACUCUAGUGAGACUGCCUUCGUAAGGAGGAGGAAGGUGAGGACGACGUCAAGUCAUCAUGGCCCUUACGGCCAAGGCGACACACGUGCUACAAUGGGAUGUACAAUGAGACGCAAUACCGCGAGGUGGAGCAAAUCUAUAAAGCAUCUCUCAGUUCGGAUUGUAGUCUGCAACUCGACUA
rnacentral:rRNA from 1 species